ACAAGGAUUCUGUUCAUGUUCUUCCUGUUCUGGAGGUUCUGGUCUUGGCUUCCCUAAUUCGUCUGUCUUCAUCCAUCAGUGAUGUCUUCAUUCCAGCUGGGAUCAGUCAUUGUCUGAAUCAGAUGAGCCCAAAGACAAACACUGAGGUUCUGUCUGCAGGUCUUGAUGCAGAACACAGCUUCUCAGUUUAAACGUUUCGAACGAGUGGAUCUUCCAGGAUCUUCACUUCCUGCAUGAAACCCAACUCCUCCUCAGAGCUUCACUCGCUGUCCCUGAAGCUUCACUUUUCCUCUUCUAAUCCAAACACCAACUUCCAGACGUCCCAGGAGAUUCCUGCACUCAGCGGAUUUAAGGAUUUCAGAAGCAGGUUUCAGAUCUGUUUUCAUUUCCAUCUCUGUGGAAAUGUCCUGAACCAGCCCUCAUUUCCUCACAUUUAGUUCUGGAGAAUCUAAAAUAGCUUCAGGAAAUUUAUUAAAACAUGUGCAAACAGAAGUUGAACCCAGAAUCAGAAACAGAGUUGGUACAUUCCCAACUGCCUUAAAGGUCCAUAUCUGCUUUGAGCUCCUUUAUUCUUCAUCCCAGCCAAAGUUUCUCAGACAAACCUUAUGGGAACAUCUGAUAUUCAUCUUGAGGAGAACUUCUCCAGGCUUCUUGAAGGAAUGUUGAAGCUGUUCUUUGAAGGUUUGCUUCCAGCUGUAAACCUGUAAACCCAGUUAUUUCUCCUCGUUCUGCUUCUCAACAGAAUCAGCUCUGAAGAACCAGGAGGAGUUUCUGAAGAACAAUUGAGUGGAGAACAGUGAGUCUGAUUUGGAGCUGAAGAACAUUGUCUUCUGAAGCAUCUCCAGUGAUAAUCAGCUUUGGUGUCCAUGUCUCCAUCAUGGCUGAGCCUUUUCCACUUUAUCAAUGACCGUCUCCAAAUAUGAGAGUGAAACUGGAAGCUUAAAGAUGAAGCUAAUAAGACUUGUUGAACAUCUGAGAAGUUCUUGUUGCUGAGUGCUGAAAGCUUCAGGAUGACCUGUAACAGAGGUGGAGAAAAAUCCACCAAUCAGAGCAGUUGUUACUGUUGGACUCUGAGUAAAAACCUUCAUCUGGUCUGAUUUGACAUGCUGUUGCUUUUCUUCAUGUUUUGGCCCAGAGAUCAUGGAGCAAUGAAGGCUGAAGACUGAGAGAUGUCGGUUCCAGUCCCAUAAGGACUUUGCUUCCUGGUCAGUGCUGUUCUGUCUGCUGCAGCCAGAGGGCGCUGCUCUGCACAGUUGUUCUUCAACAUGAUUUAUCAUCUGCUUCGUUGGAGUCAACCAUUUCAGGCAACUCAUCUGUGGCCGUUUCUGGAGACUCCUUUCUAGCGUCCUCUGAUUCAUCUGAUGCCGCAGUGAUUGUUCACACAAACGGAGGGACCGUCCAAGAUCUGAGAGGAACUGACAGGAAGCAGCUAAAGUGACGAUGUGAACGCCUCAACACACCUCAUACACCUCAGCUGACAGAGGAUAGAGGACCUGUGGAGGAGGAGGAAAGGAGGAAGAGGAUGCAGGUGGUGGAGAGGUUUCAGACGGCUCCUUCUGAGGAAAUAGCAGCUCUCUGUGGAUCCAGGGUGAGACACUUACUGAAGUAAACCUGGAGUAAUUCUGUUUGGUUUCUAAGACCUCAUUGCUUCAGUCCAAACUAGAUCAGGUCUUUGAUCCGAUUGUUCGUCCUCCUCCGUCUCCAUCUGGACAAUCGUCUCGUCGUUGGACGCCGAUCUAUGAGAUGAACUUUCCUGACCUCUGUGUGUAUUAGAGACUCAACAGGAUGACCUGGAUCAUUAUGAAGCAUCUGAUGAUGUGUUCAAGGAACAGAGGACAGAACAACUGAGGACUGGAAACAUGUAGCAUGAGUCAUGUUUUGUGUUCAUAGAAGAAGUUUUUCUCAGUGGCUGUUUUGUUCCUCUGAGAAAGAUUUAGUUUUGUGUUGAUCUCAGUAUUUCCCAGUUUUAUGUUUCAUUUAGUUGUGAUUCUUGAAGUGUGAUUGUCAAAAAGAAAACUUUAUUUAAAUCAUGUUGAAUUAAUUCAACUUUAACUGUCUUUUUAUUUAGUUUUGUCCCUAAACUUUAAACCAACUUUUUAAUAUUCUGAAACAUUGCUGAUAAACUGUUGGAGAUGAUGAUCUCAGAGUGGAAAGUUUGAACCAUGUUUCAUGUAUCAUGUGUGACCUGGUAGAUCAAGGUGUUGGUUAGUAUGAACUGCAUGGGCUUCAUCUAAAACCAACUGUGUCAGGGUUUAAACGCAGCAAACUGGAGGAAGGACAGACAGGGUAUGAAACACAGAAAACAUCUGAUUCAUGGAGACACUGAUCAAGAAUGAUCAUAUCUGUGCAGCGUCCCAACUCAGUUACCUUCUGCUACAACUAAUCUGUCCACUAGAGGGAGCACAGAUACUUCCACAGGUUCUGCUUCAAACUUAAAGAUGAAAUAACUGCAUUCAGUGUUAUUUGACUACUUUGUUAAAUCUUUGAAUAAAGAAAUGUAUGUUUUUAUUUCCUUGUUUUCCUUCAAAUAGUUUUAAGAAGCAACGUUCAGCUUUCUGACUCAAUAACUCAUUUUAUUAAGAAUUGGAGGAUAAAGAAACCAAACACUGACAAACACAUUUAACACGACUAAAACAAGAUGAAAUGCUGAAGGAAAGAACUCAGUGUGUCAUGUUCAUUUUUCAUGAUGUGUUUUUAAUCAAAUAUUUAGACUGAAAAUAAAACAAGUCAAAUAAAACAACAGCAACAAAUUU